rnacentral:rRNA from 1 species
AUUGAACGCUGGCGGCAGGCCUAACACAUGCAAGUCGAACGAGUGGCGGACGGGUGAGUAAUGUCUGGGAAACUGCCUGAUGGAGGGGGUUAACUACUGGAAACGGUAGCUAAUACCGCAUACCAUCAGAUGUGCCCAGAUGGGUUUGGCUUGUGGGUGGGGUAACGGCUCACCAAGGCGACGAUCCCUACCUGGCCUGAGAGGAUGACCGGCCAAGCUGAAACUGAGACACGGUCCAGACUCCUACGGGAGGAGGCAGUGGGGAAUAUUGCACAAGGGGCGAAAGCCUGAUGCAGCCAUGCCGCGGUGAGGAAGAAGGCCUUCGGGUUGUAAAGUCCUUUCAGCGGGGAGGCGUUACCCGCCGAAGAAGCACCGGCUAACUCCGUGCCAGCAGCCGCGGUAAUAC